rnacentral:lncRNA from 1 species
UAGUCUCAUAUGUGAAGAAGCAUACAGUGGUUUGCGAACUUUGUUCGGAAGCUGAAUGGGCUCCAUUUUGAGUGCCACCCUUCCGUUUUGAGUGUUAUGCUGAGGUCUGUCUGUUUUUGCUAUUUAUUUUAUGUUUUUGUGACUGUGUGGAACCCAGUUCAGCUACUGAUUGAUUGAUUGAUUGAUUGAUUGAUUGUGUGACUGCAGUACAUUGUUGAUUGCUUUCAUUUUAUGGAAAAUUCAUGUUAAAUUGCUGUUUUAGGGGUUGCUUUAUAAGUCUGGAACGGAUUAAUCCACUUUGCAUUACUUUCUAUGGGAAAGUGCACCUUGGUUUUGGAACACUUUGGUUUUGGAAUGGACUUCCUGAACAGAUUUAAGUUUGCAAACCAAGGUACCACUGUAGAUAGAGCAGUGGCAUGAGACUCAGUUAACGUAGAUCAGUGCUAGGCUGUUCAAACAUAGAAUGAGUCCUCUGUAACUAACUCCACAAUGUUAUUCACUCCGUUUACUAUUUCCAUGGAUUUUUAGGGUGAUGUUGGACCUCCCGGAUCUGCCGGGCAGCCUUUAUUAGUUGGACCUCCUGAUUCUCAACUGUUAAAGGGAGAAAAGGGUGUAAAAGGAAUGCCUGGAACUAUAGGUGCCAAAGGAUUGCCUGGCCGCAAAGGUUCACUUGGAAUUGGAGAGAAGGGUGAAAGGGGGAUUCCUGGCUUUCCUGGAUUGCGGGGGAGUCCAGGUUCUUAUGGAUCACCAGGAAUUCCAGGAAGCAAGGGUGAAACUGGAAUGGCUGGAUUUCCUGGAGAAGAUGGGCUUCCAGGAAUUAAGGUCAGGUCUCAAAUGCAGAAGGUUCUUUAUAUAUAUCUGUGUUUAUAG